rnacentral:rRNA from 1 species
UGGGGAAUAUUGCACAAUGGGCGCAAGCCUGAUGCAGCCAUGCCGCGUGUGUGAAGAAGGCCUUCGGGUUGUAAGCACUUUCAGCGAGGAGGAAGGUGUGAGCUUAAUACGCUCAUCAAUUGACGUUACUCGCAGAAGAAGCACCGGCUAACUCCGUGCCAGCAGCCGCGGUAAUACGGAGGGUGCAAGCGUUAAUCGGAAUUACUGGGCGUAAAGCGCACGCAGGCGGUUUGUUAAGUCAGAUGUGAAAUCCCCGGGCUCAACCUGGGAACUGCAUUUGAAACUGGCAAGCUAGAGUCUCGUAGAGGGGGGUAGAAUUCCAGGUGUAGCGGUGAAAUGCGUAGAGAUCUGGAGGAAUACCGGUGGCGAA